GCAGUGGGUACGGGCAGACUAGAGUGCGGUAGGGGAGAUUGGAAUUCCUGGUGUAGCGGUGGAAUGCGCAGAUAUCAGGAGGAACACCGAUGGCGAAGGCAGAUCUCUGGGCCGAACUGACGCUGAGGAGCGAAAGGGUGGGGAGCAAACAGGCUUAGAUACCCUGGUAGUCCACCCCGUAAACGUUGGGAACUAGUUGUGGGGCCGUGACGCAGCUAACGCAUUAAGUUCCCCGCCUGGGGAGUACGGCCGCAAGGCUAAAACUCAAAGGAAUUGACGGGGACCCGCACAAGCGGCGGAGCAUGCGGAUUAAUUCGACGCAACGCGAAGAACCUUACCAAGGCUUGACAUACAGGUGGUGCAUGGUUGUCGUCAGCUCGUGUCGUGAGAUGUUGGGUUAAGUCCCGCAACGAGCGCAACCCUCGUUCUAUGUUGCAACUCAUGGGAUACUGCCGGGGUCAACUCGGAGGAAGGUGGGGAUGACGUCAAAUCAUCAUGCCCUUAUGUCUUGGGCUUCACGCAUGCUACAAUGGCCGGUACAAAGGGCUGCAAUACCGUAAGGUGGAGCGAAUCCCAAAAAGCCGGUCCCAGUUCGGAUUGAGGUCUGCAACUCGACCUCAUGAAGUCGGAGUCGCUAGUAAUCGCAGAUCAGCACGCUGCGGUGAAUA
rnacentral:rRNA from 1 species